rnacentral:lncRNA from 1 species
GGAGAGCUGGAAGGGAGAAGAGUGGAGGCCAGGCGCACGCCCCUGACUCGCGCUGGACACUGCCUGUUGCUUUUAAGGCCGCGCGCCUGUGCCUCGCAGAGCUGCGCUUGGGGCUGCAGAGGCGCUCUAAGCCCCAUCCGGGAAGGUGCCACGUGGGGCAGGCGGCCUGGAGGCGCACCCUCCGCCCGCGAGGCUCCCCAGGGCCCUAAGUCCCGCCAAGGGUCCUGCUCCCCCAGCACCUGCUGCGGAGCUUGGCCGCGCCGGGUCAGGGGCAGCCCCGCAGGGCUGCACCGCGCAGUCUCAGCCUCGCGGCGUCGGCGGGGACCCCACAGGGACCUCGGGGACCCCGGGGCAUCACUGGCCGGGCCCCGCCUCGCUAGGAAGGUCCACCCCAGGCAGUCGGGACUGGGGCGGGGCCAGCGCGAGGGGCGCCCUUAUACAGCGCCUGCCCUUACACGGCGAGCCCGGCGCCGCCCGCCGGGACCCCCCACCCCCCGGGGCCGCGCCUCCCAGCGCCCUCCUGCGGGGGGGACCGCGCACCUGCGCCCCCGCGCGCCGCCAGCGGGGGCUCAGACUGGGAGGUCCCGGGCAGGAGAUAGGAGCUGGGUAAAUUUAAUAACACGACUUGUUUGGGUGAUUUCAGAGUUUCCAUCGAGAGUUUAGAAUUACUCUUUAUGGCACUUGGCUUUCUAUACAUGGUAGUGACAUAAUAUUCACAUAUUGUUUUUAGUAUGAAAAUGUGCAGAAAUGCACACAAGGGCAUAGAGAAUGAUAGUACAACAUUCAUCUAAUGUUCAUAAAUAAAUGCGUUAAAUAGGAGCGGAUUUGUAGAAAGAAGAAGAGUACCAAGAGUGCAGAGGCAAGGCUUCGGAGCAGGCUAACAGUGCCUGGAGUUUGGCAGGGACCGCAGGAGCUGCGUGGUGCUGCAGGAGGGAACUGGGGCCUCUCCCUCCCACCGGUGGAGUGGCGGUGAGUGGGGGCCAGAUCUCGGAGCCUGGCUCCGGGCAUCCCAGGGAGCACCUGCCGCACGCAAAUUCCACACCAGUGCGCCCCAGCCGGCUGCCUCUAGACUCAAGUCUCCUCGCCUGGGUUAUUUCUGUAUUUGCUUUCUCCACUGCCCACCUGGGCUGCAGGCCCCUGCCCUGCACACUAGAGCCAAAGGAAUUUUCUAGACUGCUGAAACCCCUCCAGGGCUCCCCGGUGCCCAGGGACAAAGACCCAGACCUUAGCAGCACUGGUGUGCCUUCCGGGGUCUGGGGCCCACAGACCUCUCAGUGCCUUUUCCUAGCACUGCUUCCUUCCACUUUACUCUUAACCUGAGCUAUUUGCAGCUUCCUGAAUAUUCAUUAAGUAAAUAUCGAAUGCGUUGGGGUUGGGGAUUCAGCAGCAGAAAGAGCUCAGUAGCGGUGAGGAGCUCAGCAGCCGUGGUCCUGCGUGUCCUCCGUGUCCUCCGCGUCCUCCCGGCAUUCACCGGUUAGUGGGGGAGUUGAAGAAAUAAGUGUGAAAACAGUUUUUAAAGUGUCCUGUGCUGUAAAGGACUUAGGAAGUACCAAGAGAGUUUUUGCCUUCUGCCAGGAAGAUCCCCACUCACCCCACCUUGCCCUGGGGUAGUCUUUGCUGAUACAGCGUCACUGGGAACAUGGUGCCCCUUGCAUAUAUCCUUAUUGGGGGCUCCCAUCAUAUCGGGGUGGUAAUGGACGUGCCUGUCUCUAACACUGGACGAGCUCCUCGGGGAAAGUCACUUUGGUCUGGUUGGCGUGGUGUCGCCAGUAGCUGGGGCGCACGGUGCCUAGUAGGUGCACAGCAGUGGUGGGCCUACUAUUAUAGCAGCUAGCCUCCGCACCGGGACCGCACCCCAGAGCAGUUCAGCCUUCAUUCAAUUCGUUCAUUCAUCCAUUAAAUCAGAGUGCAUGGGACGCCUGGGUCCCAAUCAGCGGUUGAGCGUCUGCCUUGGGCCCAGGGUGUAAUCCUGAAGUCCUGGGAUCGAGUCCCACAUCGGGAUCCCUGCAGGGAGCCUUCUUCUCCCUCUGCCUGUGUCUCUGCCUCUCUCUCUCUCUCUCUCUCUCUCUCUCUCCCUGCCCCCCUCUCUCUCCCUAUGUCUCCCAUGAAUAAAUAAGUAAAAUCUUAAAAAAAAAAAAUCAGAGUGCGCCAAGCCCCUAAUGUGAACCAGUUGAUUGACAGAGGGUGAGCUCUGUGCUGGCAGACUGUGGGGCAGCCAACCAGGAAUGGGUCAUCCUGCCUGGCCCUCUGUGGGGACAACUGCCAGAGGGAGUGUCAUGUUAACAGGGCCUCCUUGAGAGAAGGUGGGAUUGGGCUUCGGGCUGAAGGAAAAGGAACUUGGAAGGAAGCAGAGAGGUGUGAGCUGGUGCAGUUGCUGAGGUGGGGCCCUAGCUGGGUGUGGCCGAGCCUUUGGAUGGGUGUGGGAGCAAGAGCCAAAGUGGGUAGGUUGGGGCCCCACAGGAAGGGCCCUGCGUGCCUGCUCACUUUCCUCGCGCUGGAGAACGAAGGGCGCAUCAUCAUCUAAGACAGUGGCUUUUCAGAGUUUCCUGACCGCCCAACGGACCUACAGUAAGAUCCACAUCACGUCACAACCUGGCGCAACGUGCAAAAUUGAAACAGGCAUAUCAUGGGACAGUUUGCUACCAGCAUUCACUCUGAUGGUUUCUCUUGUGUGUUUUUUUUAAUCAUCAUCAUUAUUAUUAUGAAAUUCUGAGUAUGACUCACCAAAUUAACUUCAAGGUCUACUUGCACUUUGACCUGCACGUUGAAAACCAUGGAUCCAAGCAUCCUGCCAAAGGGUCUAGGAGUAGUCGAGAGGCCCUUUUAGAUUCAUAAAUAAUUUAAACUCCUGGGGCACCUGGGUCAGUCGGUGGAGCAACUGCUUUUGCUCAGGUCAUGAUCCCAGAGUCCUGGGGUCGAGCCCCAUGUUGGGCUCCCUGCUCUGCUUCUCCCUCUUGCUCUGCCUCUCCCCCUACCUCCCCCACUUGUAUUCUCCCUCUUUCUCGGAAAUAAAUAAAAUAUUAAAAAAAAAAAAAAAGAAUUUAAACUCAGCCUUAGAGAGGCUCUUUCACUCCACAGCUACUUUCACCUGUAAAGCAGCCCCAGAGGGCGGGCCGGGUCCCCCAGCCUCCUCCAUAUCCCGGGAGGAGGUGCCCAUCCCACCCCCCAUCAGGAUCCUAUGGCUGCUGGAUGCUCCCGGGUGGAGCUCCCAGGUGGGUCUGAGAUCCAAAUGAGAAGAACAACCCACCACAUUUUCCCCAACCUGUUGACACACACCCUCCCGCCCUGACCUCCACUCUCAGAAGUGUC